rnacentral:rRNA from 1 species
AGCGAACGCUGGCGGCAGGCCUAACACAUGCAAGUCGAACGAACCUUUCGGGGUUAGUGGCGGACGGGUGAGUAACACGUGGGAACGUGCCUUUAGGUUCGGAAUAACUCAGGGAAACUUGUGCUAAUACCGAAUGUGCCCUUCGGGGGAAAGAUUUAUCGCCUUUAGAGCGGCCCGCGUCUGAUUAGCUAGUUGGUUGAGGUAAUGGCUCACCAAGGCGACGAUCAGUAGCUGGUCUGAGAGGAUGAUCAGCCACAUUGGGACUGAGACACGGCCCAAACUCCUACGGGAGGCCGCAGUGGGGAAUCUUGCGCAAUGGGCGAAAGCCUGACGCAGCCAUGCCGCGUGAAUGAUGAAGGUCUUAGGAUUGUAAAAUUCUUUCACCGGGGACGAUAAUGACGGUACCCGGAGAAGAAGCCCCGGCUAACUUCGUG